rfam:Otolemur garnettii contig032222, whole genome shotgun sequence.
GCUGGGCACAGUGGCAGGUUCCUGUACUCCCAACUACUUGGGAGGAUGAGGCAGGAGAUGGCUUGAGUCCAAGAGUCCUGGACUGUAGUAUGCUAAGCUGAUUGGGUGUCCACACUAAUCCUGGUAUCAAUCCUAUGACCUCCCAGGAGUGGGGAGUAGGGGACCCACCAGGUAGCCUAAGGAGGGAUGAACCCAGGUAGAAAACAGAAGGUCAAAACUCUCGUGCUGAUCAGCAGUGGGAUCGUACCUGUGAAUAGCCACUGAACUGCAGCCUGGGCAGCACCGUGAGACCCCAACUCUA